UUCAGUUUCAAAAUGAAUACAAAAUUUAAAUGAAACUUAAAUUGACGGACAAAUGCAGUUUGAAGUCAGCCUCUCGACCAUUCCCUGACCAGGGAUUGAAAUCACAUGGCAGAUUUCUUAAAAUGCCGUUUGCUGGGUCCUGUAUGAGGCCUCCUUCACCAGAAUCCACAGGCUACUCCGGACUAAUCAUACCUGGGAGAAUGAAGACCUUGAACCAGCCUCCUUCAGAUUCCAUUUUCAGGACCCAGAAUAGCUUCCGGGGUAGGGCUUCUGUCUGUCAGCGUUAUGCCCUGAGGCCUCUGUUGCUUUCAGCCUGACACACUAAAUCUUCUUAGGCUGAGUCCCUGGCCACAUCAUUGUCACAAAUUUUUGCCAGAGCAGACGACCAUGACUUGCAACCAAUGAAUCUUCACAUCUCUGAUUAGAAAAGAAUAUAAACCCCU
rnacentral:lncRNA from 1 species